CCUACGGGGGGCAGCAGUGAGGAAUAUUGGUCAAUGGACGAGAGUCUGAACCAGCCAAGUAGCGUGAAGGAUGACUGCCCUAUGGGUUGUAAACUUCUUUUAUAUGGGAAUAAAAUGUUCCACGUGUGGGAUUUUGUAUGUACCAUAUGAAUAAGGAUCGGCUAACUCCGUGCCAGCAGCCGCGGUAAUACGGAGGAUCCGAGCGUUAUCCGGAUUUAUUGGGUUUAAAGGGAGCGUAGGUGGAUUGUUAAGUCAGUUGUGAAAGUUUGCGGCUCAACCGUAAAAUUGCAGUUGAAACUGGCAGUCUUGAGUACAGUAGAGGUGGGUGGAAUUCGUGGUGUAGCGGUGAAAUGCUUAGAUAUCACGAAGAACUCCGAUUGCGAAGGCAGUUCACUGGACUGCAACUGACACUGAGGCUCGAAAGUGUGGGUAUCAAACAGGAUUAGAUACCCCAGUAGUC
rnacentral:rRNA from 1 species